UUACGGUAAUAUCACGUUGAAACACCGGUUCUUGUACGAUAACCAAAUUUAAGCAACAUAGAGCCUGGUCAGUAGCUAGAUGGGUGACCGCUUGGGAAUACCAGGUGCUGUAAG